rnacentral:misc_RNA from 1 species
AUUUUUUUUUUUUUUUUUUAUAUUGAAAUUUGGUUGUGUUUAUUGUGUUUUUUAGUUGAGUAUUUUAUUUACUGCUACUAUUAUUAUUACUAAAACUAUAUUUUAAUAUAAUAUGGUUACAAUGAGGGCAUAUGUUAAUAUUAAUAUAUGCCUAGGUCUAGGUGGUCGGGUGGGAUAUUUUACAUAGUUUUUUUUUAAAGCUAUGUGUGUAAUCUUGUCCAGGGUUCAGUUUGUCAUGGUUUGAUUAAAGAUGAUAUGAGAUUUGAUCUCUAGUUUAUUAUAAUAAUAAAGGGGUAAUAACUUUUUUUUGUUGUUUAUGAAUGGACUCUAAAGAGGGCGAGUUUGAAUGUACUGCUCCCCCAGCUCUCUAAGGAGGGUUUCGUAAUGGUUUUUCAAAAAAAU